AUGAUGCUGUGGGACCCGCAGGCGAAGCCAUGGAAGGUGCGGGACGGGUACACCAGCGGCGUGUGCCCCCAUGCGGCAUUCAAUACCGGGUGGGGCGUGCUCGUCAUGGAGAACAACCUGGAGAGGUGGGACGUGUGCGUCUUCGAGCUCCUGGGCCAUGACUACAACAUCAAGCUGCACAUCUACAGGGCCGUGCCGGAGAUGACCCCUGCGUCAUCGCCACAAACCCAGUCACAGACGAGUGAUUGUGUGCCUGAAAGUGGCAGACAUGUUAUAUUGUCGUUGUCAAAACAUAACGUUUGGAAUUAUGUGUUUCCGUUUGUUCGCCGUGACCUAGGGUUUUUCCCUUGCCCCGAAUUCCCUUUUAUAUGUAUAUAUAUGUAA
rnacentral:rRNA from 1 species